UAUUUUUGUGGAUCCAUAUCAAUUGGGUUCCUGUAUUUUGAAAGUGUUCAAUUAAGUAUCUGUUUUGGUAAAAUUGAUUUAAUAAAAUCCCUGUCGUUAAAUUCUAUAAACGGCGUUAACUUUGUUGUGAACUGGCAUGCUGAGUAUACAAUUUUUAAUGACGUGCCAUAUUAUGGUUUACUGACUAGACAACAUUUGCUGCCAUCUCUUUUUUUUUUCAUUCUUCAUCGUCUUCGUCACCAUAACUCUUCCCAACUCUUCUCUUCAACUCUGCAACAUCAUCGUUCAGAACACCAUCAUCCUUCCGAAUCAAGGUUUCCUUAAUCUUGUGUGUGGUGUCCUUCGUCAUGUCCCAUGCCCCUUGAACGCCCU
rnacentral:lncRNA from 1 species